rnacentral:rRNA from 1 species
UACGUAGGGUGCAAGCGUUAAUCGGAAUUACUGGGCGUAAAGCGUGCGCAGGCGGUUUUGUAAGACAGGCGGGAAAUCCCCGGGCUCAACCUGGGAAUGGCGCUUGUGACUGCAAAGCUGGAGUGCGGCAGAGGGGGGUGGAAUUCCGCGUGUAGCAGUGAAAUGCGUAGAUAUGCGGAGGAACACCGAUGGCGAAGGCAAUCCCCUGGGCCUGCACUGACGCUCAUGCACGAAAGCGUGGGGAGCAAACAGG